rnacentral:rRNA from 1 species
AACGAACGCUGGCGGCAGGCCUAACACAUGCAAGUCGAACGAAGUCUUCGGACUUAGUGGCGCACGGGUGAGUAACGCGUGGGAAUAUACCUUUCGGUGGGGAAUAACAUCGGGAAACUGAUGCUAAUACCGCAUACGCCCUUCGGGGGAAAGAUUUAUCGCCGAAAGAUUAGCCCGCGUCCGAUUAGGUAGUUGGUGAGGUAACGGCGCACCAAGCCUGCGAUCGGUAGCUGGUCUGGGAGGAUGAUCAGCCACACUGGGACUGAGACACGGCCCAGACUCCUACGGGAGGCAGCAGUGGGGAAUAUUGGACAAUGGGCGCAAGCCUGAUCCAGCCAUGCCGCGUGAGUGAUGAAGGCCUUAGGGUUGUAUAGCUCUUUCGACGGGGACGAUGAUGACGGUACCCGUAGAAGAAGCCCCGGCUAACUUCGUGCCAGCCGCCGCAGUAAGAC